rnacentral:rRNA from 1 species
UACGUAGGGUGCAAGCGUUGUCCGGAAUCAUUGGGCGUAAAGGGCGCGUAGGCGGUUUGGUAAGUCAGAUGUGAAAUCCCUGAGCUUAACUCAGGAACUGCAUUUGAAACUGCCAAGCUAGAGUGUGAUAGAGGAGAGCGGAAUUCCCGGUGUAGAGGUGAAAUUCGUAGAUAUCGGGAGGAACACCAGUGGCGCAAGCGGCUCUCUGGGUCAACACUGACGCUCAGUGCGCGAAAGCGUGGGGAGCAAACAGG